rnacentral:rRNA from 1 species
AUUGAACGCUGGCGGAAUGCUUUACACAUGCAAGUCGAACGGUAGAGGGGGCAACCCCUUGAGAGUGGCGAACGGGUGAGUAAUAUAUCGGAACGUGCCCAGUCGUGGGGAUAACGUAGCGAAAGUUACGCUAAUACCGCAUACGAUCUAAGGAUGAAAGCGGGGGAUCGCAAGACCUCGCGCGAUUGGAGCGGCCGAUAUCAGAUUAGGUAGUUGGUGAGGUAAAGGCUCACCAAGCCAACGAUCUGUAGCUGGUCUGAGAGGACGACCAGCCACACUGGAACUGAGACACGGUCCAGACUCCUACGGGAGGCAGCAGUGGGGAAUUUUGGACAAUGGACGCAAGUCUGAUCCAGCCAUGCCGCGUGUGUGAAGAAGGCCUUCGGUUGUUAAGACACUUUCUAGCGAGGAGGAGAGUGUGUG